GGUCAGAGGGUGAGGAGAUGAAGAGGUGGCGGCGUUUCCACCAACUCCAGCUGGGUUAGAGUUCAGGUUUGGUCUGUUUUUGGUGAGUCAACUGACCUCCUGACAUCAUGACAGUUCAAACCUUUUCUAUUAGCUAACUAAGGUUUAUUCAGCUGUAAAUUGUAAAUAAUGCAGGUUAUUUGUUGUGAAAGUCGUCCAGAUCCUCAGCAGCAUCACCAAACCGGUAAUGAAUCCGUUCCAGAAUGAACUCUGACCCUCUGCUUUGUGACCUAACACCUGCUGCCCGUUCAUGUCUGACUUGUGUCUUCCUGCAGAUGAAAGCCCCAUGCGGCCAUGAACAGAGCACUUUGACUGGCGGAGCAGCCGUGAUUUAAGGAAACGAAAUGGAGCCUGGCAUGGAGCUGCAGGCCUGAUUCCUCGUCUGCAGCCACUUUAGAUGCAUAUCAGUGAAGGUCGGACGGUCAGAGGAGAAGUGCUUCAGAUCUGCAUGUGGCCAGAUCUGGUUGGAGCACUUCAGAUUCAUAAUCAAUCAAUUCCCUGCUUAGAGAUUCUGAGGUCAGAGCGCAGCGCCUCACACUUCCAGCGUAUUAAAAUGCAGCAGCAUGAAGGGAAGGAGAUGAGAAGCUCCAUGUUUGCUGCUGUGAGGAGCAGCAAAGUGAUCCAAACCUCCAGGGGAAAGAGAUGUAAUCAGUCACCGCUGCUGGGUUUACAGGCAGGACGGCACGUCUGAGUGUUUGAUGCUGCAGGAUCACUCAGAUCCCGCCGAGGAUGGAGAAACUCCAACACGCCGGGCGCAGAGUUCCCUCUUCUGGCAGCACAAAUCUGCAGAAUGACUCAAAUAAUGUCAUGAAUAAAAGUCUAAAAGCCAACAGGGAGGCUCCUCAUGAGCUGCUUGGACUGCGCGACAUUCUGCGCAGUUUAAUGGCUGUUUAUUUGAUCAAAGUGACUGCCAGAGAAACAGAGCUGGGAUUUUAGGACGAUUCCUGUGCUCACCUCUAGGGGCGCUGUGUCACCGUUGGCGCAUGCCCAUUGCUGUCAAUAUAUCGUCAAUAUUCUGGUUUUAUUCUCAUGUUUUAUAAAUGUUGACGUUCCACAGUCUGGCUGAUAUAUUACACUAAUAUUUGUGACUUAUGUAGUCUUUCUGGUCAGCCAUAAAUCAAGUGAAUAGUCGCCUGAAGACAAAGUUUCACGUUUCCAAAGGAAGGCGUUUCUUAAACGCCACGCCUGAUUGGAUGAAAUUAACGUCCCUCAGACGACCUUUUAUUUUGAAAAACAUGGCUAGCUUACUGCUGUUUUGUUGUUUUUUCUUUUUGGUUUUUGAUGGGGUUAAUGUGGGUUCAGCAUCCCAGCAUCACCAUUCCACUCCAGCAGAUGGCGGUAAUGCACAUCAAUACGUUGCUUGCCAACCGCCAUAAAAAGAAGAAGAAGAAGAAGAAGAAGGAUCCGCCAUUUUUCAGUUAUUUGUUUCGGUUCAGUGGUUUGCUGAAGGUAUCAAGUCACUGAUGAGCGACUCUGACCCUGAUUGAUGAGCCGCAGCCGUUGCUUCUCCGCUCAUUGCUGAUGUCUUUCCACCCUGGAGGAGUCGGGUUUUAACCGGCACCGAUGGGUUCCCACAGCUGGAACAAACGGAUCAGCAGAUAUCCAAAGAUCUAAAUAUAAUCUGCAGAAAACCAAAACCAUAAAAAUCUCCUGAGUGGGGAAUGAAACCACCAAGAGGAGAGAAAUCAGCUUCUGCUUCCUGAAUAUUAAACCAUGAAUCAUCACUAUCAAGCUUCAUACUGCAGAGGAAGCAUCAGGAAGCCAAGAGGUAAACACUAAGGAAAACCACACAGUUAGAAAAUAAACAGCAAGUACAAGUUGAACCUGAGACUCUGCGGUUCUGGCCGGACUCACCACAGUGAUCUGAACUUUCCACCAGCAAUCCCCAACUUUUAAAGAACUUGAAGUAUUGAUUUCUAUUAUUCAGUAUGGAAAAAUGAGUGGGGUGAAUGAGGUUUACUUUAAUACAUUUUGUAUCCAAAAUAAAAUGUGCUGUUGUGCGCUAUUUAUAGAUUUUCAUUAAUUGUUUUUCACUUUGAAAUUUACUGUAUUAAAAAAAUUUUUUUCGAUAGGUUUGUCUUUAAAGCAAAACUAGACUGAAACUGAUGCUGUUGUUUCAAAUUAUAUUAACCAUUCUAUAUAAAAGCUUUUCAAAUAAAUUAAUAUGCCCUUUUGCUUAGAAAAUGUGAUAUACAAUAAGAACAUAUUUUCCUUCAUUGAUUGUUCUUUAUUGUACAAAGUAUGUGUGAUUAUUCUCUCCAAUAAUUUGGUGUAUAGCUUGUCGUAGUUGUAUAAUUUUUCUAUUUUCUGCUGUGGCUGUUUUCUAUUAAAGAUCACUAUCUUUUUUUAAA